rnacentral:rRNA from 1 species
AUUGAACGCUGGCGGCAGGCUUAACACAUGCAAGUCGAGCGGGGGAAGGUAGCUUGCUACCGGACCUAGCGGCGGACGGGUGAGUAGUGCUUAGGAAUAUGCCUAUUAGUGGGGGACAACAUCUCGAAAGGGAUGCUAAUACCGCAUACGUCCUACGGGAGAAAGCAGGGGAUCUUCGGACCUUGCGCUAAUAGAUGAGCCUAAGUCGGAGUAGCUAGUUGGUGGGGUAAAGGCCUACCAAGGCGACGCUCUGUAGCGGGUCUGAGAGGAUGAUCCGCCACACUGGGACUGAGACACGGCCCAGACUCCUACGGGAGGCAGCAGUGGGGAAUAUUGGACAAUGGGGGGAACCCUGAUCCAGCCAUGCCGCGUGUGUGAAGAAGGCCUUAUGGUUGUAAAGCACUUUAAGCGAGGAGGAGGCUACUCUAGUUAAUACCUAGGGAUAGUGGACGUUACUCGCAGAAUAAGCACCGGCUAACUCUGUGCCAGCAGCCGCAGUAA